rnacentral:lncRNA from 1 species
GUUAAUUUGAUGUAUGUCUUUUUGUGCUUCUUCGUUACAUUUGUUGUUUUUAUAGGGAUUAAGAUGAUAACACAAUGUUGACUGCUGUACCCCUGUUUUUGACAUUUUUACCUAUUGUGUCUGUUUGUUUUGAUCACGCAUCGGUGACAAUUUAAUGGAAUUUGAUGCGACUGUCAUACAAGUGAGAGGUUUAGCUAGCUACAUUUGAAAAUGCCUCUACCAAGUCAGGAACAUGACAGUUCUGUCCAUUCGUUUUUGAUGCGUUUUGUUAUUUGAUUUUGCCAUGUGAUAAUGGACUUUCCGAAUUGAUUUUCCUCUGAGUUCAGUAUUUUUG